rnacentral:rRNA from 1 species
UACGUAGGGUGCGAGCGUUGUCCGGAAUUAUUGGGCGUAAAGAGCUCGUAGGCGGUCUGUCGCGUCUGCUGUGAAAUCCCGAGGCUCAACCUCGGGCUUGCAGUGGGUACGGGCAGGCUAGAGUGCGGUAGGGGAGAAUGGAACUCCUGGUGUAGCGGUGGAAUACGCAGAUAUCAGGAAGAACACCGGUGGCGAAGGCGGGUCUCUGGGCAAUAACUGACGCUGAGGAGCGAAAGCGUGGGGAGCGAACAGG